rnacentral:rRNA from 1 species
CCCAGACUCCUACGGGAGGCAGCAGUGGGGAAUAUUGCACAAUGGGCGAAAGCCUGAUGCAGCAACGCCGCGUGAACGAAGAAGGCUCUUGGGUCGUAAAGUUCUGUUCUGAGGGAAGAAGAAAGUGACGGUACCUCAGGAGAAAGCCCCGGCUAACUACGUGCCAGCAGCCGCGGUAAUACGUAGGGGGCAAGCGUUAUCCGGAUUUACUGGGUGUAAAGGGUGCGCAGGUGGCAGGGCAAGUCAGAUGUGAAAGCCCGGGGCUCAACCCCGGUAUUGCAUUUGAAACUGUCCGGCUAGAGUGCAGGAGAGGUAAGCGGAAUUCCUAGUGUAGCGGUGAAAUGCGUAGAUAUUAGGAGGAACACCAGUGGCGAAGGCGGCUUACUGGACUGUAACUGACACUGAGGCACGAAAGCGUGGGGAGCAAACAGGAUUAGAUACCCUUGUA